ensembl:lncRNA
CUCAACUAUAUUAUUUCCCAUAUAUUGUACAACAGUUAAAAAGGACAGAACAUGGACACACUGCAAUUGGGAUCAAGAAGAAGAUCUUCUCAGAAAUUAAUCAAGUCCAUGGAAUGGAUAUAGACAAAAAUAUAAUUCAAGGACUAGCGGAGGUAGAGAGGCGAGGCAGGGGUGAGGACAUCUUCCUGCUAUUUUGACAGUCCCUGAAGGACAAUACAGAAGAGGACUGGAGACCACAGCAGCGAUUCUGCUCUUGCCCAACAUCUUCAAUGAGGACCCGAGUGGCCUUUACGCCCGUGACAAGAUUUCACCGCUCUUCAAUCCUUUACUGCACAUCGGCGGAAAUCCAUUUCACCAUGAGAGUGAAAUCCCGCUGGCCUUUGAUGGGGAGAACAUCCACGCCCUCGAGGACGUCCCCAUGGGACUUGGGGCUCUGCUAGUGCUGGAUUUUUUAUUUUCCCUUAAAUUUCAGAAAAACACAUGUUCUUAAGUUUACUGUGCUCUGGGGAUGAGAGGGAUUAAUGAAAUAGCGGCCACAACAGACAGACCUGAUAUCGCCCAUAAUUCGAUGUCACGUGCUGACUGGGUAUGACCAAAGUUAUUCUAUUU